GGCGAACGUUGGCGGCGUGCUUAAUACAUGCAAGUCAACUGAAGCAGUGGUAGCAAUAUCGCUGUGGAGGUGGCGCACGGGUGAGUAACACGUAGGUAAUCUGCCUUCAGGUCUGGCAUAACUCCGGGAAACCGGGGCUAAUAGCAGAUGAUGCAGCGGCUCGACAUCGAGACAGUUGUUAAAGCUAUGGCGCCUGAAGAUGAGCCUGCGUCUGAUUAGCUAGUUGGCGGGGUAACGGCCCACCAAGGCAACGAUCAGUAGCUGGUCUGAGAGGAUGAUCAGCCACACUGGAACUGAGACACGGUCCAGACUCCUACGGGAGGCAGCAGUAAGGAAUAUUGCUCAAUGGGAGAAAUCCUGAAGCAGCAACGCCGCGUGAGGGACGAAGGGCUUUUGCUUGUAAACCUCUGUAGUGAGAGAAAAAAAUCCCAAUCUUUGGGACAUGAUGGUAGCUCAAAAGUAAGCCCCGGCUAACUACGUG
rnacentral:rRNA from 1 species